GUGUAUGGCCAUACCACCCUGAACACGCCCAAUCUCGUCUGAUCUCAGAAGCUAAGCAGGGUCAGGCCUGGUUAGUACUUGGAUGGGAGAAAAGAAAUGAAAGCAGGACCAUUGGGAAAAAUGGGUAAAUAUAUAUA
rnacentral:rRNA from 1 species